CUUUACUGACGCUAAAGCUCGAAGGUGCGGGUAUCGAACAGGAUUAGAUACCCUGGUAGUCCGCACGGUAAACGAUGGAUGCCCGCUGUUGGCGAUAUACAGCCAGUGGCCAAGCGAAAGCGUUAAGCAUCCCACCUGGGGAGUACGCCGGCAACGGUGAAACUCAAAGGAAUUGACGGGGGCCCGCACAAGCGGAGGAACAUGUGGUUUAAUUCGAUGAUACGCGAGGAACCUUACCCGGGCUUGAACUGCAGGAGAACGAUCCAGAGAUGGUGAGGCCCUUCGGGGCUCCUGUGGAGGUGCUGCAUGGUUGUCGUCAGCUCGUGCCGUGAGGUGUCGGCUUAAGUGCCAUAACGAGCGCAACCCCUUUCGCCAGUUGCCAUCAGGUGAUGCUGGGCACCCCGGCGACACUGCCACCGCAAGGUGUGAGGAAGGUGGGGAUGACGUCAAAUCAGCACGGCCCUUACGUCCGGGGCUACACACGUGUUACAAUGGGGAGUACAGAGAGUCAGGCGUUGGCAACACCGCCUUAAUCAAUAAAGCUCUCCUCAGUUCGGAUUGGGGUCUGCAACCCGACCCCAUGAAGCUGGAUUCGCUAGU
rnacentral:rRNA from 1 species